rnacentral:misc_RNA from 1 species
AAAACCACAAUACUGUCUUAUCUGCCUUGAGAGGAACAGUACUUUAACUUUAGAAAAGCACCUGUAAGAAAUUUGACAUGGCGUUAUUCAGAUGUGGACUUAAGUUCAGGGCACUUUCCGCUGCUCUCAGAAACAAUGUUGCCUGCAUGUCAUCGCUUCCCCAGCCAAUUAAGAACCCCGAAAUCAAAUACAAUAAGGUUUUCAUCAACAAUGAUUUCGUAGACAGUCAGUCGGGGAAGACGUUCCCAACGAUUAACCCAGCAACAGGGGAGGUCAUCUGUCAGGUCGCUGAAGGAGAUAAGAAAGAUGUAGACCUAGCAGUGAAGGCAGCCCAAGAUGCUUUCCGAUUGGGAUCACCAUGGCGACGAAUGGAUGCUUCAGAAAGAGGUGUUCUUCUCAAUAAGCUGGCAGACCUGAUAGAGAGAGACAGAGUCUACAUUACAUCUUUGGAAACACUUGACAAUGGUAAACCUUAUCAUGUGGCCUUUAACGCGGAUCUUAACCUGGUCAUCAAAUGUUACCGCUACUACGCCGGCUGGGCUGAUAAAAUCGAGGGCAAGACUGUGCCAGUGGCUGGAGACUUCUUUGCUUACACCAGACGUGAACCGGUAGGAGUUUGUGGACAGAUCAUCCCGUGGAACUUCCCUCUGCUGAUGCAGGCCUGGAAGCUGGGCCCUGCCCUGGCCUGUGGUAAUGUGGUUGUUAUGAAGGUCGCAGAGCAGACUCCUCUCACCGCCCUCUACAUCGCUCACCUGGCUAGAGAGGCUGGAUUCCCUCCCGGUGUUAUUAACAUCAUCCCAGGGUGGACCAAGAGCAAACAGAUAAAAUCAUGUCGUACAUCAAGAGUGGAAAAGAACAAGGUGCCAAACUUGUGGCAGGGGGCAACAAGAUGGGGGACAAGGGCUACUUCAUUGAACCCACAGUCUUUGCAGAUGUGAAGGAUGAAAUGAAAAUUGCUCAAGAAGAGAUUUUUGGCCCGGUGCAGACCAUUUUGAAGUUCAAGGACAUGGAUGAACUGAUUGAGAGAUGUCACAAGACAAUCUAUGGACUAGCUGCUGCUGUUCAAACCAAGGACCUUGAGAAAGCACUACACCUCUCUAACACCUUGAGGGCUGGCACAGUCUGGGUGAACUGUUUUGACGUGUUUGAUGCCAGCAUGCCUUUUGGUGGAUACAAAAUGUCUGGUAACGGUAGAGAGCUGGGAGAGUAUGGAUUGGAGGCAUACUCAGAAGUCAAAUCCGUUGUAAUCAAGAUUCCUCAGAAGAAUUCCUAAAUCUCAGAGAUUGGAACAAGUGUUAAUGCUGGUCUUGUACAGAAUUUCAUCAGUGGAAUUUAAUAAGAGCUUUAAGCGUACAUUUGUUGAUUGGAAUAUUUAUGUACAUUUAUUUGCUUUACGUACAGUGUACAUUAUUUACUCAUGCAAGUGCUUUAUGAUGUUGUGUACAGUAGUACAUUUUCUAACUCUUGUUUCACACCAUCCUACAGUUGAUUUUUAUGUGUGUUUACAAAUGACCAAUAUUCACUAUAGCUGGUUUAUAAAUAAAUGUAAUUGUAUGGUGUAUGUUUAGCUUAAUUACUUUUUUAAAAAAGAAAUGACUUUUGCUUUCUGGUGUAUCCAAACUCAUUUUAUCACCAAGUUCAUUAGCAUGUUAAAUUGUUGAAGCUCAUUGACUUAACAUAUAUUUAUCCUGUAAAGAAUUGUACUCUAUUCAUCUUCAGCUAACAGACACAAGCUUGGUAGAAAAUAUUAAUUUUAUAACUUUGUACAUUUAACAGGAAACGGAGGAUUAUUAUUCCUAUAUUAAAAAUAUUAUGAUAAUAAUAUACAAUAUAUUGUCGAGCAUUUACACCUUUUUGAGAAAGUAUUUGAUACAAAGAAGUAUUUUUAAGUGCAUGCACUGUUACUAUUAUUACUAUAAUAUUACAUUAUUCAAUAAAUAAUAUUUCAUGAU